AGCGAACGCUGGCGGCAGGCUUAACACAUGCAAGUCGAGCGGGCACUUCGGUGUCAGCGGCAGACGGGUGAGUAACACGUGGGAACGUACCCUUUGGUUCGGAAUAACGCUGGGAAACUAGCGCUAAUACCGGAUACGCCCUUUUGGGGAAAGGCUUGCUGCCGAAGGAUCGGCCCGCGUCUGAUUAGCUAGUUGGUGAGGUAAUGGCCUACCAAGGCGACGAUCAGUAGCUGGUCUGAGAGGAUGAUCAGCCACACUGGGACUGAGACACGGCCCAGACUCCUACGGGAGGCAGCAGUGGGGAAUAUUGGACAAUGGGCGCAAGCCUGAUCCAGCCAUGCCGCGUGAGUGAUGAAGGCCUUAGGGUUGUAAAGCUCUUUUGUCCGGGACGAUAAUGACGGUACCGGAAGAAUAAGCCCCGGCUAACUUCGUG
rnacentral:rRNA from 1 species